GGGCCGCAUCCCAGCGUUGCCAAGGCAAAGUUGCUGUGCCCAGGCCCGGCAGGGCUCAGUGAGCAGAGCAGCUCUGUGGCACGCUCACUGCAGGCGGAACCUGCUGAUCGCCGAGGUCUCUGCCAGCAGGACUCGCAGGAUUUUUGGUUUUUCCCCGCAGGCGUUGUCUGGUGCAGACUUGGGCAGCGCUGCUCAGGCCAUGGAGAGAGUGUGUGCUGCAGUUUGCACGGCUUUCUCCGUGGCCUAUUCUGGGUACUUUUUCACCCAGCUGGCACGUCACAUCACCCGUGUCUGGAGAGAAUCCGCUCCUUGGGUGAGUGGGAAAGGAACCUUUGGUGUGGGUAGCAUUUGACAAUUGUGGAGCAAGCUGUGAGCUGGGCCUGGUGCAGUCCAGUGCUAGCCUUGUGGGAUGAAUGAAAGAACAGUCCAGGCUCUUUGCAGCAGCAGCAGCAGCAGCAGCAGCAGCAGCAGCAGCAGCAGCAGCAGCAGCAGCAGCAGAAUUUGCAGGAGGAGUUGGAUCCUGAGCUGUUUUCUCCAGCUCAUUUUCAGAGCAUUUAAGCAGCUGAAAGUGGGGUUGCUUGGUGCUUGAAGCCAUGAUGGAAGUUCUCCUGUACAAGAGAGUGCAGUCCCAUCUAACUGGCCCAUUUGACUUGAGUUUGAACAAUUAGAAUGCCAUUUCUCUGCAGAUGAUUUCUCCUUAGUGCAUCUGGCUCCAGAGCUGAAUGGAGAGGUUACCUGUCCCUGACACUGCUGUCUAUCUGCAGAGCCCAAAACAGACCUCUGAGCCUCCUCUGGAUGCAUGUCUUCCUGAAGAAGAGGCCAAAGGGGAGGAAGAUUCCCACCAAAGUGCACCUGCUGCCACUGCAGGGCCUGAGCAUCCAGCAUCAAGCACAAGGGCAGCGCCAGCACCUGCUCCGGCUGCCUCUGCACCCGAGGAAGAGGCUGAAGAGGAGGAAGGUGCCAAUGACCCUGCUGCUGCUGUCAGCCGUGGCCUGAGCAGCCAGCAUCAAGCUCCAGCUCCUCUGUCGUGGCACCUGCACAAGCUGCAGCUGAAGAAGCCUCCAGUGCCCAAGCUGGAAACUCAAGCAGGAGCAGCUCGUGCACCUGGAGCACGACUAGUUCCUCUGGCAGCAUGGAGCUGCUGGGAGAGAGGACAGAGGACAAGUGCCUGGCCAUGCUGAGUACGUCCUUUGUGACCCUUGUGUGCCGCAGCAGUGCCUGGUGUGUGUGUGCGUGUGUCAGC
rnacentral:lncRNA from 1 species